CCUACGGGUUGCACCAGUGGGGAAUAUUGCACAAUGGGCGCAAGCCUGAUGCAGCCAUGCCGCGUGUAUGAAGAAGGCCCUAGGGUUGUAAAGUACUUUCAGUCGGGAGGAAGGCGUUGAUGCUAAUAUCAUCAACGAUUGACGUUACCGACAGAAGAAGCACCGGCUAACUCCGUGCCAGCAGCCGCGGUAUUACGGAGGGUGCAAGCGUUAAUCGGAAUUACUGGGCGUAAAGCGCACGCAGGCGGUUGAUUAAGAUAGAUGUGAAAUCCCCGGGCUUAACCUGGGAAUGGCAUCUAAGACUGGUUAGCUAGAGUCUUGUAGAGGGGGGUGGAAUUCCAUGUGUAGCGGUGAAAUGCGUAGAGAUGUGGAGGGGUACCGGUGGCGAAGGCGGCCCUCUGGACAAAGACUGACGCUCAGGUGCGAAAGCGUGGGGAGCAAACAGGAUUAGAUACCCCUGUAGUC
rnacentral:rRNA from 1 species